rnacentral:rRNA from 1 species
GAUGAACGCUGGCGGCGUGCUUAACACAUGCAAGUCGAACGGAGUACCCCUGAAGGAGUUUUCGGACAACUGAUGGGACUACUUAGUGGCGGACGGGUGAGUAACGCGUGAGUAACCUGCCUUGGAGUGGGGAAUAACAGCUGGAAACAGCUGCUAAUACCGCAUAAUAUAUCUGUGUCGCAUGGCAGUGGAUAUCAAAGAUUUAUCGCUCUGAGAUGGACUCGCGUCUGAUUAGCUAGUUGGCGGGGUAACGGCCCACCAAGGCGACGAUCAGUAGCCGGACUGAGAGGUUGGCCGGCCACAUUGGGACUGAGACACGGCCCAGACUCCUACGGGAGGCAGCAGUGGGGAAUAUUGGGCAAUGGGCGCAAGCCUGACCCAGCAACGCCGCGUGAAGGAAGAAGGCUUUCGGGUUGUAAACUUCUUUUCUCAGGGACGAAGCAAGUGACGGUACCUGAGGAAUAAGCCACGGCUAACUACGUGCCAGCAGCCGCGGUAAUACGUAGGUGGCAAGCGUUAUCCGGAUUUACUGGGUGUAAAGGGCGUGUAGGCGGGACUGCAAGUCAGAUGUGAAAACCACGGGCUCAACCUGUGGCCUGCAUUUGAAACUGUAGUUCUUGAGUACUGGAGAGGCAGACGGAAUUCCUAGUGUAGCGGUGAAAUGCGUAGAUAUUAGGAGGAACACCAGUGGCGAAGGCGGUCUGCUGGACAGCAACUGACGCUGAGGCGCGAAAGCGUGGGGAGCAAACAGGAUUAGAUACCCUGGUAGUCCACGCUGUAAACGAUGGAUACUAGGUGUGGGGGGACUGACCUCCUCCGUGCCGCAGUUAACACAAUAAGUAUCCCACCUGGGGAGUACGAUCGCAAGGUUGAAACUCAAAGGAAUUGACGGGGGCCCGCACAAGCGGUGGAGUAUGUGGUUUAAUUCGAAGCAACGCGAAGAACCUUACCAGGGCUUGACAUCCCGGUGACCGCUGUAGAGAUACAGUUUUCCCUUCGGGGACACUGGUGACAGGUGGUGCAUGGUUGUCGUCAGCUCGUGUCGUGAGAUGUUGGGUUAAGUCCCGCAACGAGCGCAACCCUUAUUGUUAGUUGCUACGCAAGAGCACUCUAGCGAGACUGCCGUUGACAAAACGGAGGAAGGUGGGGACGACGUCAAAUCAUCAUGCCCCUUAUGUCCUGGGCCACACACGUACUACAAUGGUGGUCAACAGAGGGAAGCAAUACCGCGAGGUGGAGCAAAUCCCUAAAAGCCAUCCCAGUUCGGAUCGCAGGCUGCAACCCGCCUGCGUGAAGUUGGAAUCGCUAGUAAUCGCGGAUCAGCAUGCCGCGGUGAAUACGUUCCCGGGCCU